AUUAUUUUGGCAGAUUUUUAUGCAAUGAAUUUAGAAUUCAUUUAAAUAUAAUUUUAAUUAUAUAAAUAAUA
rnacentral:tRNA from 1 species